rnacentral:rRNA from 1 species
UGAGGAAUUUUGCGCAAUGGGAGCAAUCCUGACGCAGCAACGCCGCGUGGGUGAUGAAGGCCUUCGGGUCGUAAAGCCCUGUCAGGUGGGAAGAAUGUCCCGGGACUGAACAGGUUCCGGGAGUGACGGUACCACCAGAGGAAGCACCGGCUAACUCCGUGCCAGCAGCCGCGGUCAUACGGAGGGUGCAAGCGUUAUUCGGAAUUACUGGGAGUAAGGCGCGUGUAGGCGGUCCUGCAAGUCUGAUGUGAAAGCCCCGGGCUUAACCCGGGAAGUGCAUUGGAAACUGUGGGACUUGAGUACUGGAGAGGAUGGGGGAAUUCCCGGUGUAGAGGUGAAAUUCGUAGAGAUCGGGAGGAAUAUCAGUGGCGAAGGCGCCCAUCUGGACGGUAACUGACGCUGAGACGCGAAAGCGUGGGGAGCAAACA